GUCAGAAAUGCUUUCAGCAGAGUGUAAGUUGUUUUGUUCCAUUUUCUGGCUUCCCUACAGAAAAAUGGCAAUGUCACAAGAAGUAUGGGUGAUAUGAUCUUGACCACAAGUUGGAGGGAUUUUUUUUUUCAACCAGAGAUCACAGAAGAGGAAUCAAUUUAAAAAAUUAUUUUUCAAUUUGCUAAAAAGUGAGUCAACAACUCAAAGAUCUCAAACUCCAGCAUUCCCAGUUUAGAAGUGAGGAGUGAGGAGUCUAUGAAGCUCUGUGGGCUAGAGUUCAUAGAAGCAGACGUCUACAUCUGUUUUAGCUCCAGGUGGAGAAGGCACCCGGAAGGGAUCCCUCAAAGUCAGCAAGCUGAGUGAGG
rnacentral:lncRNA from 1 species